AGUUUGAUCCUGGCUCAGGACGAACGCUGGCGGCGUGCUUAACACAUGCAAGUCGAACGAUGAAGCCCAGCUUGCUGGGUGGAUUAGUGGCGAACGGGUGAGUAACACGUGAGUAACCUGCCCUGGACUCUGGGAUAACCCCGAGAAAUCGGAGCUAAUACCGGAUAGGACCUUUCCCCGCAUGGGGUUGGGUGGAAAGUUUUUCGGUUUGGGAUGGACUCGCGGCCUAUCAGCUUGUUGGUGAGGUAAUGGCUCACCAAGGCGUCGACGGGUAGCCGGCCUGAGAGGGUGACCGGCCACACUGGGACUGAGACACGGCCCAGACUCCUACGGGAGGCAGCAGUGGGGAAUAUUGCACAAUGGGCGCAAGCCUGAUGCAGCAACGCCGCGCGCGGGAUGACGGCCUUCGGGUUGUAAACCGCUUUUAGUAAGGAAGAAGGGGCUUCGGCCUUGACGGUACUUGCAGAAAAAGGACCGGCUAACUACGUGCCAGCAGCCGCGGUAAUACGUAGGGUCCGAGCGUUGUCCGGAAUUAUUGGGCGUAAAGAGCUCGUAGGCGGUUUGUCGCGUCUGCUGUGAAAUCCCGAGGCUCAACCUCGGGCCUGCAGUGGGUACGGGCAGACUUGAGUGGUGUAGGGGAGACUGGAAUUCCUGGUGUAGCGGUGGAAUGCGCAGAUAUCAGGAGGAACACCGAUGGCGAAGGCAGGUCUCUGGGCACUUACUGACGCUGAGGAGCGAAAGCGUGGGGAGCGAACAGGAUUAGAUACCCUGGUAGUCCACGCCGUAAACGUUGGGCGCUAGAUGUGGGGACCUUUCCACGGUUUCCGUGUCGUAGCUAACGCAUUAAGCGCCCCGCCUGGGGAGUACGGCCGCAAGGCUAAAACUCAAAGGAAUUGACG
rnacentral:rRNA from 1 species